rnacentral:rRNA from 1 species
AUGGGCGUCGAGGCGGCGCUGCAUGGGGCGGCGGCGGAGGCGGAGCUGCAUGGGGCGCUCUCGCUGCAGCCGCACGUGGCCGGCGCCUUCUUCGCGCUCGCGGCGUGCACCGUGGCGCUCGCCGCCCUCCUGGCCGUGGCGCGCACGCGCCCGCCGUGGUGGUGCGACUGCGCGGUCUGCGAGGCCUACCUCACGGCGUCGUGGGCAGGCGAGUUCGACAACCUCUGCGACUGGUACGCGCACCUGCUGCGCCGCUCGCCGUCGCAGACCGUGCACGUGCACGUGCUCCGCAACGUGCUCACAGCCAACCCCGUCACCGUCGACCACAUGCUGCGCGCGCGCUUCGAUAACUACCCCAAGGGCAAGCCCUUCUCCGCCAUCCUCGCCGACCUGCUCGGCCGCGGGAUCUUUAACGUCGACGGAGACGCGUGGCUGUUCCAGCGGAAGCUCGCCGCGGCCGAGCUUGCGUCCCCGGCGCUCAGGGCUUUCGCCUCGGGCGUCGUCGCCUCCGAGCUGCGGGGCCGUCUCGUUCCCCUGCUUGACUCUGCAUGUUCCCACGACGACGACGGUGGCAAGGUGCUGGACCUGCAGGACGUGUUCCGUCGCUUCGCCUUCGACUGCAUAUGCAAGAUCUCCUUCGGCCUCGACCCGGGCUGCCUCGAGCUGUCCAUGCCGGUAUCGGCGUUCGUUGACGCGUUCGACACGGCGUCGAUGCUCUCAGCGAGGCGCGCGACCGCCCCGUUGCAGAUCAUAUGGCGGCUGAAGCGGUUCUUCAACGUCGGGGACGAGAGAAAGCUCCGGGAAUCCGUGCGCCUCGUCGACGGGUUCGCCGCGGAGGUCACCCGGCAACGACACAAGCUCGGCGGCGCCGCGUCCGGCAGCGACCUCCUGUCGCGGUUCAUGGGCUCCAUCAGCGACGAGAAGUACCUCAGGGACAUCGUCGUCAGUUUCGUGCUCGCCGGCCGCGACACAGUCGCCUCAGCGCUGACCGCCUUCUUCCUGCUCCUCUCCGAUCACCCGGAGGUCGCCGCCGCCAUCCGGGACGAGGUGUCACGCGUCGCGGGCGACGACGACAACGACCGGCCGAGCUUCAGCAAGCUCAAGGACAUGCACUACGUGCACGCGGCGCUGUACGAGAGCAUGCGGCUGUUCCCGCCGGUGCAGUUCGACUCCAAGUUCGCGGCGGGCGACGACACGCUCCCGGACGGCACGGCGGUGGCCAAGGGCACCCGGGUCACCUACCACGCCUACGCCAUGGGCCGGAUGGAGUCCGUGUGGGGCCCCGACUGCUCCGAGUUCCGGCCCGAGCGGUGGCUCCGCGACGGGCAGUUCGUCCCGGUGAGCCCGUACCGGUACCCGGUGUUCCAGGCCGGCGUGCGCGUCUGCGUCGGCAAGGACCUCGCGCUCAUGGAGAUGAAGGCCGUCAUCGUCGCCGUCGUCCGCAGCUUCGACAUCGAGGCGAUCGGCCGGAGCUCGCGCCGGCCCAAGUUCGCGCCGGGGCUGACGGCCACGUUCGCCGGCGGGUUGCCGGUCAGGGUCCGCCGGCGACCGCGUGGUGUGAGCGGGCACAGCCCACCAACCUGA